AUACAGAUUAUCAUACCUACACUGGAGUCUCCACAUCGCUGUUUGAAUACCAGGUUUUUGUGUAUUAAAAAAAAAUGAGACCAAGAUAAAGCAUUUCAAGACAUUUUCCACCUUUAUCUACAACCUUUACAACUCAAUUGAAAAACAAACUGAAAUCUGUAAAGGGGAAAAUACAAAAAUAUGUAUAAUAACCUGGUUGCAAUCUACACUCCCUUAAACAGUUUUUUCUUGUCGCAAAUUUUCUGCUCGCUCUGCUUGCUUCGCCUUUGUUUAGAUUUUUCUUGAUGAUAAGCUUGUUUUUCUUCCAAAGAAAUUAGAAGAAGCGACUCCUGGAUAUUUUUAAACUUGUGGGAUUGUACUUUUUUUCUGUAGAUACAGUCAGUUGUUGCCAUAUUCCAAUAUUUUUUUAUACCCCCUUACGAUUACGUGAGCGUGGGCUGCUAAUUAGCACAAGCCUGUUAUUAGCUACGAGACCAGCAACAAGAUGCCCCCUUUUUCCACUGAAUACUAUCACAAACAGCUACAGAAGAUGGCGGUCCUGGAAACGAAUAUCCACCGUCUUGAAGUUAAUGUGGAUGUAAAUGGACAGUCUUUGAGUGAAACCAUUCUACCGAUGUCUCAAAAUGGUGAGCCGAAGCGUGCUAAUAGACAGCCACUUAGCUCAGCAAAGAGGAUGGAUGUGGACUGUGCAAACAGUAAUGGAUCAUCCAGCAAUUCUCCUUGGAAUCUACUGGGAGCAAAGCCGAAAGAUACGGGACAACAUCUAAAAGGGAGGACACAAAACCAGCAGAUUAGCGAGAAAUCCGGCUGGCCUGCAUUGUGUGCUUCUUCAACCCCGAGAGAGCGCCCGUGGACGGUCACUACAACGAAGGGCAAGAAAAGAGUAUGCCAAUCGAUGCAAAACAAUGACAUCAGACUUACAAAUAGAUCUGAGCCACUUUUACAAGACCCUGGCAAAGAAUGCUCAUCCUCCACCACCACUGAAAGGAGUGCAGACAUCUUUACAAGGCAGACGGUUUCUGUCUAAAUAGACAAGGGGUUAAGUUAUUGGCUGCCAACAUUUUUACUGUGUACGUCAUUCAGCGGCUCGAAAGGAAAACAUUGGCCUUGUUGACACGGCUGAAGGACAAAAAGCGCAGGAGUCUGCAGUUAUUCCCAAACAAUCGGAGGAACAAGAGAUAAGGCGACACGAGGCGCAGAUGGAGUCACCAGCGUCACCCAAACAAUCAGAGGAACGAAUGAGGAAUGAGAUGAGGGAGCACUUGGACUCCCCUACACCCUCCCUGCCCCACUGGACCAAAGCCCAACGCAAAACUCACUCUCUACUAGCCUAAAUGCCCUGUUAGGUGUGACGGACAGGAUGAAGGCUAUUGUGUAUAUUGGAAUCCAGCGCACACCACGCCAAGAUCUUCCUCCCACCCCCCUCGCCUGAAACAACCAUCCAUGAAGAUGCGAAGGGCCCCUCCUCCACCCAUGAAAAAUCUUAUCUGCAAAUCUGACUGACAUCUACAGGGUCUUUUCCAGAAUAAGUCAGACCCCUAUGGAGAGCAGGCAUUUUUCAUCCCUGAAAUUACAAGGGACAGAAAAUUGGUCAAAGAAAUAUGGCAAAAAAAAAAAGUAGAACUACAAACGUAGUGAAGAUAAAAUGUGAAUCUAUCAAACCAUUGUCUCUAGUGAUCUCUGUGAGACUAGCUCUAUUCAAUAUCAGGUCACUGGGUAACAAAUCAAUGUUGAUUAAUGACAUUACAACCUAUGAUCUAGACCAGUGAUUCCCAACCACUGUGCCGGGGCACAUUAGUGUGCUGUGAGGGCUAUUCAGGUGUGCUGUGGGAAAUUAUAAAAUUUUACUUAAUUGCACAGAAAAUUAUUUAUUUCCAAGAAAUAAUGUAUCUUUAUUCAUC